GCAAUUUCCAUUUACUCUAAAAUUUCUCUCUUCCCGCCCAACACAAAAAUCCCCCUCCAAAUAAACCCUAACCUCCUAUAUCUUUUGAAACUUACUCCAAAAAACGGCCCCUUCUUGUUACCCAAGAUCCAGCAGAGAACAAGGUCAUCAUCCCAAUCGCGGUGCCAGUGCCAGUGCCAUCAUCCCGACCUAAAAGGACACUUCAAGUCAAAGCCAAGACGCCGGUUGACGGACUCCGUCCAACUCGAGAUCUCCUCGUAUUCGCUGACUGCAAUCCUCGAGAAAGCGAAAUGCGAUGAAAAGCUGGAUGAAGGCCUCUGUUAUCUUUAUUUACAGAGUGUUAAAGGAGCAGAGUGUGAAAGGGCAUAUGAUUCGGACACUGAGUUCUAUGUGCAUAUCUUUGAUGGGCGCUAUUAGAAAAGCACAUGAAGACGUUCAAAUGGUGGUGGAGACUCUUUACAACCAUUGCAGUGGAAGCUAGAUAAAGAUAUGAGAAACGUUAAUAUAAUUUUUUUAGCGAAGCUUUUGAGAAUUUUCAGGAUGAUAUGGUUCAAGAGUAUUCAGAUGCACCUUUAGGACAUUCUCAAACUCAUUUGCCUAUGGCAUCUAAAGUUUUUUUUUUUAUGGUUUUCAUCUUAGGUUCGCUCAAAAUCUAGACAUCUCUUGGUUUUAUUAUCUUCUACCACUUAAAACAAAUAUAUGAGCAUGCUUCAGGUUUAAAAGGGAUAGCAUGGCAGAAGGAUGGUAUUGGAAAGAUUCAUGUUGUUGCUCCAAAUGAGAGAAUAGUUGAUCCCUAUCUAUAUGGUUAAUCUUAUAAGCAGAGAAAACAACAGUCUCAUCCUAGGAAAAAACAUUGUUGAAUCAUAAAGCAAGCCUUGAGGUUGAAAAAACAUUGUUGAAUCAUAAACAGAGCCUUGAAGAGGACCAUCAAAUGACUAAAGUUGAGCUUAGAAGACAGAAGCUAUGCGGAAAGAUUUUGAUAGUCAACGAGCAAACUUUGAAACUAUGAUGUGAAAUAUUGAGGAAAAGCUACGUCUUGGAGUACUUCAGGAUCUUAGAGAUGAGUAGAUCGUUCAUUGUGAUUGACAACUAUAUUUAUAUUACACUGUUAUUUUGAGUUUGGAUAUAUGCUAAAUUACAAUUUAAAGAUUAUAUAUUGUAUUUAUGUUAUUAU